rnacentral:rRNA from 1 species
AACGAACGCUGGCGGCAGGUCUAACACAUGCAAGUCGAACGAGAAGCCACCUUCGGGUGGUGGACAGUGGCAGACGGGUGAGUAACGCGUGGGAACGUGCCUUUCGGUUCGGAAUAACCCAGGGAAACUUGGGCUAAUACCGGAUACGCCCUUCGGGGGAAAGAUUCAUUGCCGAAAGAUCGGCCCGCGUCGGAUUAGCUAGUUGGUGGGGUAAACGGCUCACCAAGGCGACGAUCAGUAGCUGGUCUGAGAGGAUGAUCAGCCACAUUGGGACUGAGACACGGCCCAAACUCCUACGGGAGGCUG